rnacentral:rRNA from 1 species
AGAGCGAACGUUAGCGGCGGGCUUAACACAUGCAAGUCGAGCGAGAAAGUGGCUUCGGCCAUCAGUAAAGCGGCGGACGGGUGAGUAACACGUAGGUAAUUUUCCUUCCAGCGGGGGACAACGUUCCGAAAGGGACGCUAAUACCGCGUACGUUUCCCGGGACUUCGGUCCUGGGAAGGAAAGCUAGGUAGCAAUAUCUGGCACUGGAUGAGAAGCCUGCGUCGCAUCAGCUAGUUGGUGGGGUAACGGCCUACCAAGGCGAAGACGCGUAGCUGGUCUGAGAGGAUGAUCAGCCACACUGGGACUGAGACACGGCCCAGACUCCUACGGGAGGCAGCAGUGGGGAAUCUUGCGCAAUGGGCGAAAGCCUGACGCAGCAACGCCGCGUGCGGGAAGAAGGCUCUCGGGUUGUAAACCGCUUUCAGAAGGAACGAAACUGACGGUACUUUCAGAAGAAGGUGCGGCCAACUACGUGCCAGCAGCCGCGGU